GGUUAAGCGACUAAGCGUACACGGUGGAUGCCCUGGCAGUCAGAGGCGAUGAAGGGCGUGCUAAUCUGCGAUAAGCGCCGGUAAGGUGAUAUGAACCGUUAUAACCGGCGAUACCCGAAUGGGGAAACCCAGUGUGACUCGUCACACUAUCAUUAACUGAAUCCAUAGGUUAAUGAGGCGAACCGGGGGAACUGAAACAUCUAAGUACCCCGAGGAAAAGAAAUCAACCGAGAUUCCCCCAGUAGCGGCGAGCGAACGGGGAGGAGCCCAGAGCCUGAAUCAGCAUGUGUGUUAGUGGAAGCGUCUGGAAAGGCGCGCGAUACAGGGUGACAGCCCCGUACACAAAAGCGCAUGUGCUGUGAGCUCGAUGAGUAGGGCGGGACACGUGGUAUCCUGUCUGAAUAUGGGGGGACCAUCCUCCAAGGCUAAAUACUCCUGACUGACCGAUAGUGAACCAGUACCGUGAGGGAAAGGCGAAAAGAACCCCGGCGAGGGGAGUGAAAAAGAACCUGAAACCGUGUACGUACAAGCAGUGGGAGCACCCUUUGGGGUGUGACUGCGUACCUUUUGUAUAAUGGGUCAGCGACUUAUAUUCUGUAGCAAGGUUAACCGAAUAGGGGAGCCGGAGGGAAACCGAGUCUUAAUUGGGCGUUAAGUUGCAGGGUAUAGACCCGAAACCCGGUGAUCUAGCCAUGGGCAGGUUGAAGGUUGGGUAACACUAACUGGAGGACCGAACCGACUAAUGUUGAAAAAUUAGCGGAUGACCUGUGGCUGGGGGUGAAAGGCCAAUCAAACCGGGAGAUAGCUGGUUCUCCCCGAAAGCUAUUUAGGUAGCGCCUCGUGAAUUCAUCUCCGGGGGUAGAGCACUGUUUCGGCUAGGGGGCCAUCCCGGCUUACCAACCCGAUGCAAACUGCGAAUACCGGAGAAUGUUAUCACGGGAGACACACGGCGGGUGCUAACGUCCGUCGUGAAGAGGGAAACAACCCAGACCGCCAGCUAAGGUCCCAAAGUCAUGGUUAAGUGGGAAACGAUGUGGGAAGGCCCAGACAGCCAGGAUGUUGGCUUAGAAGCAGCCAUCAUUUAAAGAAAGCGUAAUAGCUCACUGGUCGAGUCGGCCUGCGCGGAAGAUGUAACGGGGCUAAACCAUGCACCGAAGCUGCGGCAGCGACGCUUAUGCGUUGUUGGGUAGGGGAGCGUUCUGUAAGCCUGUGAAGGUGUGUCGUGAGGCAUGCUGGAGGUAUCAGAAGUGCGAAUGCUGACAUAAGUAACGAUAAAGCGGGUGAAAAGCCCGCUCGCCGGAAGACCAAGGGUUCCUGUCCAACGUUAAUCGGGGCAGGGUGAGUCGACCCCUAAGGCGAGGCCGAAAGGCGUAGUCGAUGGGAAACGGGUUAAUAUUCCCGUACUUGGUGUUACUGCGAAGGGGGGACGGAGAAGGCUAUGUUGGCCGGGCGACGGUUGUCCCGGUUUAAGCGUGUAGGUGUGUGUUCCAGGUAAAUCCGGUUCACUUUAACACUGAGGCGUGACGACGAGGCACUACGGUGCUGAAGCAACAAAUGCCCUGCUUCCAGGAAAAGCCUCUAAGCAUCAGGUAACAUCAAAUCGUACCCCAAACCGACACAGGUGGUCAGGUAGAGAAUACCAAGGCGCUUGAGAGAACUCGGGUGAAGGAACUAGGCAAAAUGGUGCCGUAACUUCGGGAGAAGGCACGCUGACACGUAGGUGAAGUGAUUUACUCAUGGAGCUGAAGUCAGUCGAAGAUACCAGCUGGCUGCAACUGUUUAUUAAAAACACAGCACUGUGCAAACACGAAAGUGGACGUAUACGGUGUGACGCCUGCCCGGUGCCGGAAGGUUAAUUGAUGGGGUCAGCGCAAGCGAAGCUCCUGAUCGAAGCCCCGGUAAACGGCGGCCGUAACUAUAACGGUCCUAAGGUAGCGAAAUUCCUUGUCGGGUAAGUUCCGACCUGCACGAAUGGCGUAAUGAUGGCCAGGCUGUCUCCACCCGAGACUCAGUGAAAUUGAACUCGCUGUGAAGAUGCAGUGUACCCGCGGCAAGACGGAAAGACCCCGUGAACCUUUACUAUAGCUUGACACUGAACAUUGAGCCUUGAUGUGUAGGAUAGGUGGGAGGCUUUGAAGCGUGGACGCCAGUCUGCGUGGAGCCGACCUUGAAAUACCACCCUUUAAUGUUUGAUGUUCUAACGUGGACCCGUAAUCCGGGUUGCGGACAGUGUCUGGUGGGUAGUUUGACUGGGGCGGUCUCCUCCUAAAGAGUAACGGAGGAGCACGAAGGUUGGCUAAUCCUGGUCGGACAUCAGGAGGUUAGUGCAAUGGCAUAAGCCAGCUUGACUGCGAGCGUGACGGCGCGAGCAGGUGCGAAAGCAGGUCAUAGUGAUCCGGUGGUUCUGAAUGGAAGGGCCAUCGCUCAACGGAUAAAAGGUACUCCGGGGAUAACAGGCUGAUACCGCCCAAGAGUUCAUAUCGACGGCGGUGUUUGGCACCUCGAUGUCGGCUCAUCACAUCCUGGGGCUGAAGUAGGUCCCAAGGGUAUGGCUGUUCGCCAUUUAAAGUGGUACGCGAGCUGGGUUUAGAACGUCGUGAGACAGUUCGGUCCCUAUCUGCCGUGGGCGCUGGAGAACUGAGGGGGCUGCUCCUAGUACGAGAGGACCGGAGUGGACGCAUCACUGGUGUUCGGGUUGUCAUGCCAAUGGCACUGCCCGGUAGCUAAAUGCGGAAGAGAUAAGUGCUGAAAGCAUCUAAGCACGAAACUUGCCCCGAGAUGAGUUCUCCCUGAGACUUAGAGUCUCCUGAAGGAACGUUGAAGACGACGACGUUGAUAGGCCGGGUGUGUAAGCGCAGCGAUGCGUUGAGCUAACCGGUACUAAUGAACCGUGAGGCUUAACCUU
rnacentral:rRNA from 1 species